AGCAGCCGCGGUAAUUCCAGCUCCAAUAGCGUAUAUUAAAGUUGUUGCAGUUAAAAAACUCGUAGUUGAAUUUCGGGAUCAAGUCGUCGGUCGUGCCUCGGUACGCACUGGUGACAUUGGUUUCUCCCUUCUGAAGAACCUUGAUGUCAUUAAUUUGGUGUCUUGGGGAAUCAGGACUGUUACUUUGAAAAAAUUAGAGUGUUUAAAGCAAGCCCACGCUUGAAUACAUUAGCAUGGAAUAAUGAAAUAGGACGUUUGAUUCUAUUUUGUUGGUUUCUAGGAUCGACGUAAUGAUUAAUAGGGAUAGUUGGGGGCAUUAGUAUUCAAUUGUCAGAGGUGAAAUUCUUGGAUUUAUUGAGGACUAACUACUGCGAAAGCAUUUGCCAAGGAUGUUUUCAUUAAUCAAGAACGAAAGUUAGGGGAUCGAAGACGAUCAGAUACCGUCGUAGU
rnacentral:rRNA from 1 species